GACGUAGGGCGCGAGCGUUGUCCGGAUUUAUUGGGCGUAAAGAGCUCGUAGGCGGUUUGUCGCGUCUGCUGUGAAAACUCGGGGCUUAACUCCGGGCCUGCAGUGGGUACGGGCAGACUAGAGUGCGGUAGGGGAGAGCUGGAAUUCCUGGUGUAGCGGUGAAAUGCGCAGAUAUCAGGAAGAACACCCGUGGCGAAGGCGGCUCUCUGGGACGGUACUGACGCUGAGACGCGAAAGCGUGGGGAGCGAACAGG
rnacentral:rRNA from 1 species